AAAGACGGUCUUGCUGUCACUUAUAGAUGGAUCCGCGCUGCAUUAGCUAGUUGGUAAGGUAACGGCUUACCAAGGCAACGAUGCAUAGCCGACCUGAGAGGGUGAUCGGCCACACUGGAACUGAGACACGGUCCAGACUCCUACGGGAGGCAGCAGUAGGGAAUCUUCCGCAAUGGGCGAAAGCCUGACGGAGCAACGCCGCGUGAGUGAUGAAGGUCUUCGGAUCGUAAAACUCUGUUAUUAGGGAAGAACAUAUGUGUAAGUAACUGUGCACAUCUUGACGGUACCUAAUCAGAAAGCCACGGCUAACUACGUGCCAGCAGCCGCGGUAAUACGUAGGUGGCAAGCGUUAUCCGGAAUUAUUGGGCGUAAAGCGCGCGUAGGCGGUUUUUUAAGUCUGAUGUGAAAGCCCACGGCUCAACCGUGGAGGGUCAUUGGAAACUGGAAAACUUGAGUGCAGAAGAGGAAAGUGGAAUUCCAUGUGUAGCGGUGAAAUGCGCAGAGAUAUGGAGGAACACCAGUGGCGAAGGCGACUUUCUGGUCUGUAACUGACGCUGAUGUGCGAAAGCGUGGGGAUCAAACAGGAUUAGAUACCCUGGUAGUCCACGCCGUAAACGAUGAGUGCUAAGUGUUAGGGGGUUUCCGCCCCUUAGUGCUGCAGCUAACGCAUUAAGCACUCCGCCUGGGGAGUACGACCGCAAGGUUGAAACUCAAAGGAAUUGACGGGGACCCGCACAAGCGGUGGAGCAUGUGGUUUAAUUCGAAGCAACGCGAAGAACCUUACCAAAUCUUGACAUCCUUUGACAACUCUAGAGAUAGAGCCUUCCCCUUCGGGGGACAAAGUGACAGGUGGUGCAUGGUUGUCGUCAGCUCGUGUCGUGAGAUGUUGGGUUAAGUCCCGCAACGAGCGCAACCCUUAAGCUUAGUUGCCAUCAUUAAGUUGGGCACUCUAAGUUGACUGCCGGUGACAAACCGGAGGAAGGUGGGGAUGACGUCAAAUCAUCAUGCCCCUUAUGAUUUGGGCUACACACGUGCUACAAUGGACAAUACAAAGGGCAGCGAAACCGCGAGGUCAAGCAAAUCCCAUAAAGUUGUUCUCAGUUCGGAUUGUAGUCUGCAACUCGACUACAUGAAGCUGGAAUCGCUAGUAAUCGUAGAUCAGCAUGCUACGGUGAAUACGUUCCCGGGUCUUGUACACACCGCCCGUCACACCACGAGAGUUUGUAACACCCGAAGCCGGUGGAGUAACCUUUUAGGAGCUAGCC
rnacentral:rRNA from 1 species